UUUUUUUUUUUUUUUUUGGAGAAUGGACUUGUGGUUGCCAAGGGGGAGGAGGAGGGAGUGGGAUGGACUGGGAAUUUGGGGUAAAAAGAUGCAAACUAUUGCCUUUAGAAUGGAUAAGCAAUGAGAUCCUGCUGUAUAGCACUGGGAACUUAUGAUGGAUCAUGAUAAUGUGAGAAAAAAGAAUGUAUAUAUGUAUGUGUGACUGGGCUACCUUGCUGUACAAUAGAAAAUUUACAGAACACUGUAAACCAGCUAUAAUGGAAAAAACAAAAAUCAUUUAAAAUUAAAAAAAGAAGUAGAAAAUACUUGGCUUUAGGAAGCCAGAUCAAGUUCAGUUAUAAUGGGGUCGUUGCUUCACUAGCUGAACAUUGUGUUCAGAAGCUCAACACAGUAACAAUUUUAACCUCUUUUUUUAACUGCUCCAUGAAGCUAAUGAUAUGGAAAGAUUUAAUAUGGGAAUAUUAAUCUUUUGUCUUUGUGUGUGAACAUUUUUGACAGGCAAGGAAAGCUGUGCUAGGUAAUUGAUUUUUCUUGUUUCUCUGGAAAACUGGAGAUAAUUUUCCAGCACUUAAAGAAGCUCUAGGACUGGCUCUUCAUCUCCCUAACAAUAAUACAGCAGUUGGUAGAAUUCAAAGACUCAGUCUAGAAUAAGUGUGUAAAAUUAUAUCAGAAGAACCACCUCACAUCCAUUAGGAUAACUACUAUAAAAAAAAUAGAAAAGUACAACGCUGGUGAGGAUGUGGAGAAAUUAGAACACUUCUGCACUGUUUUGGGGAAUGUAAAAUGGUACAGCUACUGUGGAAAACGGUAGAGUGGUUCCUUAAAACCUUAAAAGCAAAAUUACCAUAUGAUCCAGCAAUUCUGCUUCUGGGUAUGUACUCAAAGAAACUGAAAGAAGAUCUCAAUGGGAUAUUUGAAAACCAUUAUUCCCAAAGCAGCAAUAUGCCCAAUAGCUGAAACACUGGAGUAACCCAAGUGCCUAUCAAUAGAGGAAUAUACAAACAAAAUAUGGUACAUACACACAAAUGGAAUAUUAUUCAGCCUUAAAAGGGAAGGAAAUUCUGACAUAGACUACAAUGUGGAUGAAACUUGAGGACAUUAUGCUAAGUGAAAGAAGCCAGUCACAUAAGGACAAACACUAUAUGAUUCCAUUUAUGAGUUACUUAGAGUAGUCAGCGUCAUAAAGACCAAAAGUUGAAUGGUGCUUUCCAGGAGUUGGGGAGUGAAGAAAUGGGGAGUUAUUGUUUAAUGGGUAUAGAAUUUCAGUUUUUGAAAGAUGAAAAGGGUUCCAGAUAGGGAUGGUGGUGAUUGCACAAUAUGAAUGUACUCAAUACCACUGAACUGCACACUUAAAGGUGGUUAAGAUAUUUUAUGUUAUAUGUAUUUGCCACAAUAAAACUUUAAGAAAUUUCUUCCAUAGGGAGAGGACUCAACCUAUCUACUUUCUUGCUCCACAGUGCUCUGAUGAAGGACUAUAAUUAAUGAGUUCACUUUGUGAGUAUCUAGUGUCUCUGAGGCCAAGGAGAUUGAUUUGAUUUUCAGAUGGGCAAUUAGCCCCGUCUCUAAUGGCCACUGAUGGUGCCCUUCUUCUUAACUCCUGCUCUCACAGUGAGUGUGCCCCUGAUCAUAAGCAAGAACAAAUCAAUGUGUCUUAUACUCAUGAUCUCUAUAUAAAGACAGGCCUGUGCACAUGUCCCUCUAAUACUGUCAUCCUAAAUUUUUAAAGGAGAUUUUUUUUAUAUCACAUUGGCUCUACCAGUUAAUAUAUUAUUGUAAUUAUGGAUUCCAUUGGGAAACUAAAGAUUUUUAAAUCCUCUUCCUAUCACUUUCUUUCUUUCAACUAGUUAUAAAAAUUUCUUUUAUUGUUGCAAAAGAAACAGAAUCUUCAUGAAGACAACUGAAUAUAGAUAUUAAUUAACCUCCUUCCCCACUCUCAAGCCCCCUUAAAAUGAUAUCAAAAGAAUAAAAAAGGAAUAAAGGCCUAGUAAUAAACAGACUGAGAGAGGACAUGAAACAACCUAAAUGUCCAUCAACAGAUGAAUGGAUAAAGAACAUGUAGUACCUAUAUACAAUGGAAUACUACACAGCUACAAAAAAGAAUUAAACAGUACCAUCUGCAGCAACAUGGGCAGACCCAGAAAUUAUCAUACUAAGUGAAGUAAGUCAGAAAAAGACAAAUACCACAUGACAUCUCUUAUAUGUGAAAACUAAAAUAUGACACAAAUGAAUGUAUUUAUGAAAUAGAAACAGACAGACUCAGACAUAGAAAAGAGACUUGUGGUUGCCGGGGGAGUGGGGGGGAGGGACGGAAUGGGAGUUUGGGAUUAGCAGAUGCAAACUAUUAUACAUGAAGGAUGGAUAAACAACAAGGACCUACUGUAUAGCACAGGGAAUUAUAUUUAAUAUCUUCUAAUAAACAUAAUGGAAAAUAAUUUAAUACAUAAAUAAAUAAAAUUGUACAAAGUUAAAAAAAAGAGAGAGAGACUAAGAGGGGACCUAUGAAUAGAUUAGAGAGUUCAUCAAAUUUCUGAAAGACAGAAAGUGGACAAAGUAUGUUGGUUGGUAGAACAUGGUAGAGAAAGCCUUACCCAAGAAAAUUCUGGAAGGGUCUUUGAUGGAGGAGAAUGCCCAGAGAAUAUUCAGCCUUAGCUUCAGCGGGGAUGAAGGGGGCUGAAAACAAGAUGGGGGGAAUUUACUGAGAGACUGACAACAAAAGAACUAUGCCAAUAGCUUCACUUCCUAUCUCAUUAAUUAGCACAAUAUUUAUAACAGUUGCAUUUGGUAGUUAAGAACCAUCUCAUAAUAUUAAAUGAUGUAUAUUAUUUUCAAGUUUAUACCUAUCUAGAACCAAAUAUAAUAUGUAUGGAAAUGUGUACUAAUUUUUUAUAUUGGCAACUACACAGCUCUUGAAAACUAAAACUUCAAAUGGUUUGUUUAAAAUAAUUGAACAUUACCCAAAGUUAACAUCAUUCUCAAUGGUGAAGAAUUGAAAGCAUUUCCUCUAAGACUGGGAAGAAGACAAGAUUCAUUUUCACCAGUGUUAUUCAACAUAGUUUUGGAAGUCCUAGCCAUGGCAAUCAGAGAAGAAAAAGAAAUAAAAGGAAUCCAAAUUGUAAAAGAAGUAAAACUAUCAGUUUUUGCCGACAACAUGAUACUAUAUCUAGAAAAUCUUAAAGACACUACCAGAAACUGUUAGAACUCAUCAAUGAAUUUGGUAAAGUUGAAGGAUACAAAAUUAAUACACAGAAAUUGACUGCAUUUCUAUAUGUUAACAAUGAAAGAUCAGGAAAGAGAAAUUAGGGAAACCAUCCCAUUUACCAUCACAUCAAAAGGAAUAAAAUACCUAGGAAUAAACCUACCUAAAGAGACAAAAAAACCUGUACUCUGAAAACUGUAAGACACUGAUGAAAGAAAUCAAGGAUGAUACAAACGGAUGGAAAGAUAUACCAUGCUCUUAAACUGGAAGAAUUAAUAUACACAAAAUGACAAUACUACCUAAGGCAAUCUACAGAUUCAAUGCAAUCUCUAUCAAAUUACCAAUGACAUUCUUUACAGAAUUAGAACAAAAUAUUUUAAAAUUUGUAUGGAAACACAAAAGACCUUGAAUAGCCAAAGCAAUAUCAAAAAGAAAAAAUGGAACUGGAAGAAUCAGGCUCCCUGACUUCAGACUCCACUACAAAGCUACAGUCAUCAAAACAGUAUGGUACUGGCACAAAAACAGAAAUACAGAUCAAUGGAACAGGAUAAAAAGCCCAGAAAUAAACCUAUGGUCAACUAAUCUAUGAAAAAGGAGGCAAGAAUAUACAGUGGAGGAAAGACAAUCUCUUCAAAAAGGUGGUACUGGGAAAACUAGAUAGUUGCAUGUGAAAGAAAUCAGAAUAUUCUCUAACACCAUACACAAAAAUAAAUAAAAUGGAUUAAAGACCUAAAUGUAAGACCAGAUACUAAAACACUCCUAGAGGAAAACAUAGGCAGAACUCUCUUUGACAUAAAUCACAGCAACAUUUUGUUUGAUCCACCUCCUAGAAUAAUGACAAUAAAAACAAAAAUAAAUCAAUAGGGCUUAAUCAAACUCAAAAGCUCUUACACAAUAAAGGAAAUCAUAAAAAAAAGACAACCCACAGGAUGGGAGAAAAUCUUUGCAAAUGAUGCAACCAACAAAGGCCUAAUCUCCAAAAUAUAUCAACAACCCAUAAAACUUAACAGUAAAAAAAACAAAUAACCCAAUCAAAAUAUGGGCAGAAGACCUAAAUAGACAUUUAUCCAAAUAAUACAUAUAGAUGGCCAACAGGCACAUGAAAAAAUGCUCAACAUCACUAAUUAUUAGAGAAAUGCAAAUCAAAACUACAGUGAGGUACCACAUUACACCAGUUAGAGUGGCCAUCAUUAACGAGUCAACAAACAACAAAUGCUGGAGAGAAUGUAGAGAAAAGAGAACCCUCCUUCACUCAUGGUGGGAAUGUAAACUGAUACAACCACUAUGAAAAGCAGUAUGGAGGUACCUCAGAAAACCAACUAUGGAACUACCAUAUGAUCCAGCAAUCUCACCCUGGGCAUAUAUACAGACAAAACUUUCAUUGAAAAAGAUACAUACNACAUGUACAUUGCAGCACUAGCCACAAUAGACAAGACAUGGAAACAACCUUAAUGUCCAUUGACAGAUGAAUGGAUUAAGAAGAUGUGGUACAGGAGUUCCCUCUGUGGUGCAGUAGAAACAAACCCGACUAGAAUCCAUGAGGAUGAGGGUUCGAUCCCUGGCCUUGCUCAAUAGGUCAGGGAUCCAGCAUUGCGGUGAGCUAUGGUAUAGGUUGCAGAUGCAGCUCAGAUCCUAUGUUGCUGUGGCUGUGGUGUAGGCUGGCAGCUGUAGCUCCUAUUCAACCCCUAGCCUGGGAACUUCCAUAUACUGUAGGUGCAGCCCUAAAAAGNAAAAAAAAGUGGUGUGUAUAUAUAUGCAAUGGAAUACUAUUCAGCCAUAAAAAGGGCAAAAUAAUGCCAUUUGCAAUAACAUGGAUGGAACUAGAGAUUCUCAUACUAAGUGAAGCAAAUCAGAAAGAGAAAGACAGGAGUUCCCGUCAUGGCACAGUGGUUAACGAAUCCAACUAGGAACCAUGAGGCUGCAGGUUCGGUCCCUGCCCUUGCUCAGUGGGUUAACGAUCCGGUGUUGCCGUGAGCUGUGGUGUAGGUUGCAGACGCGGCUCGGAUCCUGCGUUGCUGUGGCUCUGGAGUAGGCUGGCGGCUACAGCUCCGAUUGGACCCCUAGCCUGGGAACCUCCAUGUGCCGCGGGAGCGGCCCAAGAAAUGGCAAAAAGUCCAAAAAAAAAAAAAAAAAAGAAAGAAAGAGAAAGACAAAUGCCAUGUAUCACUUAUAUGUCGAGUCUAAAAAUAUGGCACAAAUAUUCUAUCUACAAAACAGAAGCAGAUCAUGGACAUGGGGAAGACUUGUGUUUGCUGGGGGUUGGGGGGAGAAAGAGAGAUGGAUAGGGAAUUUGGGGUAGGUAGAUGCAGACUGUU
rnacentral:lncRNA from 1 species